rnacentral:rRNA from 1 species
UACGUAGGGGGCAAGCGUUGUCCGGAAUCAUUGGGCGUAAAGCGCGUGUAGGCGGCCCGAUAAGUCCGCUGUGAAAGUCCAGGGCUCAACCCUGGGAUGCCCGUGGAUACUGUCGGGCUCGAGUCCGGAAGAGGCGAGUGGAAUUCCUGGUGUAGCGGUGAAAUGCGCAGAUAUCAGGAGGAACACCAAUGGCGAAGGCAGCUCGCUGGGACGUGACUGACGCUGAGACGCGAAAGCGUGGGGAGCAAACAGG